rnacentral:ncRNA from 2 species
UGUGGUAUAAUGAAAAGGUUGCCAUGCAACCCUUGGUGCUUAGUUCCCUUUCGCCAAGCAUAUUACAAAUGUUAUUAGCAAAGAUUCCUGAUAGCAUUAAAGGAGAAAAUGAUG